rfam:Triticum aestivum genome assembly, contig: Triticum_aestivum_CS42_TGACv1_scaffold_328114_4BS
UUUGUACUCCCUCCAUCCGGAAAUACUUGUCGGCGAAAUGGAUGUAUCUAGAUGUAUUUUAGUUAUAUAUACAUUUAAUUUUAUUCAUCUCUCUGACAAGUAUUUUGGAACGGAGGGAGUAGUAU